rnacentral:rRNA from 1 species
UGCGUAGGCGGGUUUUUAAGUCAGAGGUGAAAUCCUGGAGCUCAACUCCAGAACUGCCUUUGAUACUGAGGAUCUUGAGUAUGACAGAGGUGAGUGGAACUGCGAGUGUAGAGGUGAAAUUCGUAGAUAUUCGCAAGAACACCAGUGGCGAAGGCGGCUCACUGGGUCAUUACUGACGCUGAGGCACGAAAGCGUGGGGAGCAAACA